rnacentral:rRNA from 1 species
GUAACAAGGGUUCCGUAGGUGAACCUGCGGAAGGAUCAUUGUCGAAGCCUGCCCCGCAGAACGACCCGCGAACUGGUUCCUCCGACGAACGCCGGGCUUCCCGGCGAGCCGCGGGGAGCGGCCCGCGAGGGCCCUCUCCGCGGCUCACGAACAAAAACCCCGGCGCCGGACGCGCCAAGGACCCUAUGAAAAAAAAGAGCACGCACCGUCGGCCCGGGAACGGGGCGCGGGGCGCGUCUUCUUUCGCUGUAAGCAAGAAAA